GAUGAAGAACGUAGCGAAAUGCGAUAAGUAAUGCGAAUUGCAGAAUUUCCGUGAGUCAUCGAAUCUUUGAACGCAUAUUGCGCCCUUUGGUAUUCCGAGGGGCAUGCCUGUUCGAGCGUCAUUAUCACAAUAUCAAGCUAGGCUUGUUGUUGGGCCCUUUGUCACCUGGUGACAGGUCCAAAAGACAAUGACCGGUGUCAUACAGACUCUAUAUGCAACGAGCUUAUAACAGCACGCAUCUGGUGGUCAUGUGGCCUGGUUCUCACCUCUAUUUUUCAAGGUUGACCUCGGAUCAGGUAGGAAUACCCGCUGAACUUAAGCAUAUCAAUAAGCGGAGGA
rnacentral:misc_RNA from 1 species